rnacentral:lncRNA from 1 species
GGUGGUUAGGCCUGGAGGCUCACAGCCCCCUCUCCCACGUCUCAUCACAAGCCUGUGGGAACCACACCACUCAGGACCACGGGGCCAGGGUCUGGGGUCCCCGACGCUGCCGAUGUGCCCUCCCACACAGAUCUGGGCCUCGGUCUUCUGACCUGAGAAAUGGGGGUGGUCAGACGCGACAGGCUCAAAGCUUUAGUUUAAGGAUAGUCCAUCCCAGUCUGAGCUGCUGACUUGCUGUGUGACCUUGGACUGGCCCUGAGCUAACAUCCGUGCCCAUCUUCCUCUAUUUUGUAUGUGGGACGCCGCCACAGCAUGGCUUGCCAAGCAGUGCACAGGUCUGCACCUGGGAUCCGAACUGACAAACCCUGGGCUGCCGAAGUGGAACAUGUGAACUUAACCACGAUGCCACCAGGCCGGCUCCAUGAGGGCGUUUUCUUAAAAGCUUUGUUUAAAACGACAGAGAGAGAGGGGUGGGGAGAAAGAGAGAGACACUUGGGUUCAUUGCCUCGAUUUCCAAUAAUGCCCAAAACUUGAAGCAACCACGUCUGAAUUGAGAGGGCUGUGUGACUGACAGCUGUGGUUCGGAUCCCAGCUCUGCCUGCCCCCUGGCUGACCUUGGGCAGGGGGCCUCACUGCUCCGGCCUCAGUUUCCCCAUCUGUGAAAUGAGGACAAUACCAGUCCGUCCACCUGCCCGCUUGUGAAGAUUAAAUGAGUUAAAGCGUGUAGUUCAUGAACAGUGGCAACUCCAGUGUGAACAAUUUGGUGACAGUCUUUCCAGACGUUUCUCUCUGUACCUGCAUACGUGGAUAGAGGUGAACAUGACACUGUAUCAAUCGGAUCACCUCCUCUUCCCUCAGUAAUUGAUCACAAGCAUUUUCUCACAUCCAAGAACGUAGCACUCCUCCGUCAUUUAAAAAUGUUUAACUUUCGUUAAUUUUCGUCAGUAGCUAAUACAUUCACACAGCCCCAAAUACCAGAAGUACGAGACAUAACAGUACAAGUCUGUCCCCUCCUGCCGGGUCCCCAGCCUCUCAGGUCCUCCCUGAGACCUUUCCUUGUUUUGCUUUCCAGAAGGGUUCCACGCACCUACAAACAAAAACAUUUAUUUGCUUUCUGUUUUCCCUCAG